GAGCUCACAUUCUCCCCCUGCUCCCGAUGGCGCUCCUGGAAGCUCUGCAACUAUGCUCCACUUCAAAUGGGCUAAUGUUUUCACAAAGAAUGAAAUGAACAGACAGAAACAAUUAAGUGAGCAGAUACAGUGAAAAGGAACACCGGCUGCCGCUUUCACACGACUGGAAGUGUAGGAAUGAAUUCUGCUUGGAAUCUGAUCCUCCAGCCACAGGGCUUUUGCUGCUCACAUCAUUUUUCUUCUGCAAACCCCCCUCAGCCCCCAGUGUACUGCACGCCACUUUUCCUUUAUGGAAGGAAAAGAUCGAGGCACACAAAGAAAGGCCCAAAUACUCACAGGCACGGGAAAUAUUUUCUCUGCCUGUUACUAGGACCGGAUAAGCUCCAAGAAAGAAAAUCCACCUAGAUAUUUUAAACUGGGGAAUGUCUCCCCAAAGCCUGGUAAAUGUUCACAUGUGUCUUCAUGAAAUUUGUAAUAUGGAUUGUUUACACAGCCCUGAUUGAGGGCAUGAGCACC
rnacentral:lncRNA from 1 species